UUCUUUUUGACUUUUCGACUAUUUUAGACUUUUUUCGAAUUUUCUACAUUUUCCUACUUUUCGACUUUUUUUACUUUUUCCGACUUUUCAACUUUUUCGACUUUUUUUUACUUUUUUCAACUUGGAAGACUUGUGUAUAUAACCUGGUAGAAAAUUUAUUUGACAUUUUAUUCUUGUCAAAGUUAUUGAAAAUUUAGUUCAAUUUCAAAAGAAUUAAAAAACUUUGAUAACUGAUCAUAUAUUUCAUUGAAUUAUAUAGUUAUCGGGAUAAAACUCGACUUAAAUAUGUUUUGUGUACAUAUAAAUCACUCCACGAAGUUUGAAACAGAAAAUAUCAAGAAAAAAUAUGAAAUAAUAGCUUUUUAUGGAGCAAGAGAAAUAUAGAGUCAGUUAAAAAAAACAACGUUUGAGGACACAAAUGCACUAUUUCUCAUUCAGCAUAGCAUGAUUAAGUAUAAAUAUGGAAUAUUUACAGUCCGGCCUUCCCUUAACCAAAAUAUAUGUAGAUCAUGUUCCAAACAAGAAAAAAUAAACUCAUAUCCGCCAUAUUCAAUGAUAUUCGUAGUACAAUGUGGACAAAAUCCAGGUUUGGAACGUGUUUUAUUUUUUCCUUCAGGAUCUUUGAAGUACCAUAUAACAUUUUUCUUCUAUGAUUUUUGGGAAAAAAUUGCGAAAGAUAUUUAUAUAUAUAUAUAUUUUUUUACCUAAAUAAAUAAAUAAUUAAUCUUAUAACUAAAUAAAUUUAUAAUAAUUGUUUGCAUGUUUUCAAAUUUUGAAUUUGUUUUAUUUCCGUUGAAAAACUUAACAUUGUCAUUUACAUUGUUUAUGAUGCCAUCUUUGGAGUAAAGUGGAAGUUUGAAUAUUCAAUUGACGUUUGAGGAAAAAUUCUGCAAUUUUUUUGGAGGAUCGCCUAACAACAGCAAGUUUUCUUAAACAUUAUUUGUAAACAAUAUUUUUUUAAAGAAAAAUAUAUUUUUUUUUUAAAGGAAAAGUACAGAAGAAAACUGUAAGUAGAUGUCAUUUUUUGAGCUUCUGUUGGUUUUACAGAAUAUUAAGCUUAAACUUCUUUUCUUUUUUUCUUCUUCUAUUUGAUAGUUUGCUUUCUGUGAGAGGAAACUAUUUUUUAUAUUUGUAAGGCCAGAAUUGCUCCAGAUUGGUAUUAUUUUUAAUUUUUAUUAAAAUCGAAAUUCAAGGAUCAGAAUCUCUUAUUGCUGUUCGCUUUCAUUUCCUUCUUGUUGGAUUUGUUUCUAAAAUUGGUGCCAGCUUUAAUGAUUGGCACAAAUUUCUGUCCACAAAGAAGCUGUAUAAUUAUAUUGAAGCUGUAUAAUGAUAUUUACCAACUUUUUUAAAGAUAGGACCAUAUUUACCCCUACUCCCCUAUGAGACCACAUGUAGAAAAUUAAAUGCUUUAUUUUUUAAAAAAUAGUCCAUAUUUUUACCAUACUGAGCGGUGUAGUGUAUAAUAUGGUCAGCCAUGUCAGCCAUAUACAUUCGUGCUUGUUUUUUGUAUGUGUUUACAUAAAGAUUAGAGUAUUCAAUUAUUCGGGUUUUUGUCUUAUUCGGUUUAUUCGACAAAUAAUUAUUUGAGGUUUUACGUUAGCCGGUUAAUAAUCGGAUAAUUGAAAAUUCUUCGGUUAUUCGAACAAAAGAAACUAGAUGUUACUAUCGCUUUUUACAAUAAUUUUCUUCAUAUUACACACAGUAACAAAUUUGAAAACAAGCUGUCAAAAUAGAUUACACCUAUACCAAUUCUGCGUACUCCGAUUUUUAUGUCCGUAUAAAAGGAUUUCAAAGUUUAAAGGACUACAAACAAAUAUUUGAAAUAAUUAUAUGCAUUUUAUGAUGCUAAUAUUGGUGUCAAAUGGAU
rnacentral:lncRNA from 1 species